rnacentral:sRNA from 1 species
CGGUUUCAAUUUGCUGGGGGCAGAUGAAGUGGAUGUGGGCGUCGAUGCCGCCGGCCGUGAGGAUUGAGCCUUCGCCGGCGAUCGCUUCGGUUGCCGGACCGAUGAUGAUAUCGACGUUGUCUUGAAUGUAAGGAUUGCCUGCUUUGCCGAUUUUGUGAAUCUUGCCGUCUUUGACUCCGAUGUCGGCUUUGACGAUGCCCCACCAGUCGAGGAUCAAGGCGUUGGUGAUAACCAAGUCGACGGCACCGUCCGCGCGGGAAAUCGGCGACUGUCCCAUGCCAUCG